CCUACGGGUGGCAGCAGUAGGGAAUUUUCGGCAAUGGGCGGAACCCUGACCGAGCAACGCCGCGUGAACGAAGAAGUUAUUCGUAAUGUAAAGUUCUUUUAACAGGGAAGAAAGAGAAAUUUGAUGGUACCUGAAGAAUAAGCUCCGGCUAAUUACGUGGCAGCAGCCGCGGUAAUACGUAGGGAGCGAGUGGUAUCCGGACUUAGUGGGCGUAAAGGGUGCGUAGAUUGUAUAGUAAGUCUGUGGUAAAAAUGCUGGGCUCAACCCAGUAGGGCAAAGGAUACUAGAAAGCUAGAGUAUGACAGAGGCAAGCGGAACUACAUGUGUAGCGGUAAAAUGCGUAGAUAUAUGUAAGAACACCAGAGGCGAAGGCGGCUUACUGGGUCGAUACUGACAUUGAGGGACGAAAGCGUGGGGAGCAAACAGGAUUAGAUACCCCAGUAGUC
rnacentral:rRNA from 1 species